AUUGAACGCUGGCGGCAUGCUUUACACAUGCAAGUCGAACGGUAACAGGUUAAGCUGACGAGUGGCGAACGGGUGAGUAAUGCAACGGAACGUGCCCGGUCGUGGGGGAUAACGCAGCGAAAGCUGCGCUAAUACCGCAUACGAUCUGAGGAUGAAAGCGGGGGACCGUAAGGCCUCGCGCGAUCGGAGCGGCCGAUGUCAGAUUAGGUAGUUGGUGGGGUAAAGGCUCACCAAGCCGACGAUCUGUAGCUGGUCUGAGAGGACGACCAGCCACACUGGGACUGAGACACGGCCCAGACUCCUACGGGAGGCAGCAGUGGGGAAUUUUGGACAAUGGGCGCAAGCCUGAUCCAGCAAUGCCGCGUGCAGGAAGAAGGCCUUCGGGUUGUAAACUGCUUUUGUACGGAGCGAAAAGGCUCUCUCUAAUACAGGGGGCUCAUGACGGUACCGUAAGAAUAAGCACCGGCUAACUACGUGCCAGCCGCCGCAGUAAAAC
rnacentral:rRNA from 1 species